UACGUAGGGUGCGAGCGUUAAUCGGAAUUACUGGGCGUAAAGCGUGCGCAGGCGGCCCUGCAAGUCAGACGUGAAAUCCCCGAGCUUAACUUGGGAAUGGCGUUUGAAACUAUGGGGCUGGAGUGUGGCAGAGGGAGGUAGAAUUCCACGUGUAGCGGUGAAAUGCGUAGAUAUGUGGAGGAAUACCGAUGGCGAAGGCAGCCUCCUGGGUCAACACUGACGCUCAGGCACGAAAGCGUGGGGAGCAAACAGG
rnacentral:rRNA from 1 species